rnacentral:tRNA from 4 species
AGCGGGGUGGAGCAAUUGGAAGCUCGCAAGGCCCAUAACCUUGAGGUUACAGGUUCGAGUCCUGUCCCCGCAA